rnacentral:rRNA from 1 species
GAUGAACGCUGGCGGCGUGCCUAAUACAUGCAAGUCGAGCGAAAAGACGAGGAGCUUGCUCCGCUGACGUGAGCGGCGGACGGGUGAGUAACACGUGGAAAACCUACCUAUAAGACUGGGAUAACUUGGGGAAACCGGAGCUAAUACCGGAUAAUAUAUUGAACCGCAUGGUUCAAUAGAGAAAGACGGUUUUGGUGUCACUUAUAGAUGGAUCCGCGCCGCAUUAGCUAGUUGGUAAGGUAACGGCUUACCAAGGGAACGAUGCGUAGCCGACCUGAGAGGGUGAUCGGCCACACUGGAACUGAGACACGGUCCAGACGCCUACGGGAGGCAGCAGUAGGGAAUCUUCCGCAAUGGGCGAAAGCCUGACGGAGCAACGCCACGUGAGUGAUGAAGGUCUUCGGAUCGUAAAACUCUGUUAUUAGGGAAGAACAAAUGUGUAAGUAACUAUGCACGUCUUGGCGGUACCUAAUCAGAAAGCCACGGCUAACUACGUG